rnacentral:lncRNA from 1 species
ACAACUUCUGCGCCGGGGUGUGUGCGUCGACGGUGCACAAGUGGAACAAGCUCAACGGCGGGAACGUGGAAGAGGACGUUCGGGUGAUGACGAGGAAAAGCGUCGACGAUCCAGGGGAGCCUCCUGGUAUCGUCCUUAGCGCGGCCACCUCGGUUUGGCUGCCGGUGUCACCCCAGUUUGGCUGCCGGUGUCACCCCAGCGGCUGUUUGACUUUCUUAGGGACGAAGGUCUAAGGAGCGAGUGGGAUAUACUCUCAAACGGUGGACCCAUGCAGGAGAUGGCCCACAUUGCCAAGGGCCAAGAUCACGGCAACUGCGUCUCCCUCCUACGCGCCAGCGUAAGUACUCCUCCCUCUCCCUCUCUCUCUCUCUCUAUAUAUAUAUAUAUAUACUAAUUUGUAACCAGUUACUCCCGCUUGUCUACUUUGUCACCUAACUGUACUGUUAUAUUUCAAUUCCUGAAAGGGGGUAAUUUUGCUAUUGUAUGUAUGAUCAUCAUCCAUUGACCUUUUGGUGAAAUGAAUCAAUAAUAGACAGUUUUCCUUGUAAACUUGAAGUCGCCGAAAAAGUUAAGCAGCUUUCUGGGUAAUUUUGAUGCAUGGAGUGAGAGAGUUGCCCCCACUUGCCUUUUUCAUGAAAUUUCGCUUUAGUUGUUUGUAGCUCUUUGUUUUUAUAUGGUUUGACUCUGGGGAGGGCUAGAAGCUGAUACAGUACUAAAC